rnacentral:lncRNA from 9 species
CGCACACACCAUUAGCAUCUGGCCCUGCAUGAGUGGGGAACUCCAACAGAUGUUGCAAAGGCUCCCUGGCCAGCUUCUCCUCAUUCACAAAAAUGUGUUCUUUGCUCUUCUCUUAUCAGCCUUGAGAAAAUAGGAUGAUCUUCUCAAAAACCCUCAGUUGGUAUCCUUUCCAUUGCACCAAAUCCUUUUCCUCACCGUGGCUUCUGGAAGGAGCAAGAACGAAUGGGCAGGCGCUGCCCCCCGACCCCAUCUUGUCCCUAGGCCACUGCUGGAAGUGCGAGCUGCCUUAUGUGAUUUAUGGGCCCAGUGAUGCCGAGGUCAGAACACAGAUUGUUUUGCAGACAUCCCCGAAGUCCCUGUGCGGUGCUGGAGAUGCAAGUCCAGAGGGACAGUCACAGGAUAUGGGGCUGAGUUUGCAACAAGCAGUGCAAAGUGGCACAGGAUAUCUGUCACCAGACAAGCAAAACAGUCAUUGUUUUCUCCCCGCCCUGUGACCCAGGCCUGGGUCUAUAAAGAGACAGCAGCUGUGGUUCUGACACCCAGAUAAACACUGAAUAAAGGACAGUGGAUUCGAAGGAAACGAGAUGCUGUGUGUGUAUAUGGAUGGUGACGGAGGUUUCUGGGGCUCCAUUUCUCUCUGGGGUUAUGUUUGCCUAAACAAUGUGAGUUCAAAAGAUUCCACGGGUCAUCCCCCCAAUCACUUAAUCAGCGACGUGCUACGUAUUGAGGGGCCAGGCACUGGGCUGAGGGGCUGAGGCUGACAUCAUGUUAUCACCUGAGCCUUCAGGCCAGAUGAGCUUGCUCUAGGUGCAGGCUCACCCCUCCCUCUCUGAGCAACCUCAGAUAGCCUGUCCAUCCUCGUGGAGGAGACAAAUUGUGACCAAAUACAAUGACAUAAUGGGUAUUAACACCUGGGGAUUCAAUAGUAUAAUAUAUACUUACGUUUACAUAUAAGACACAGUUCCCGCCUUUAAGAACUAUGGUAUAGCUCACUGCUUUUUUGUUUGUUUGUUUGUUUGUUUUGUUUUGUUUUUUAGGGCCGCUCUUGUGACAUAUGGACUUCCCAGGCUAGGGGUCAAAUCCGAGCUGCAGCUGCCAGCCUACGCCACAGUGACAGCAAUGCCAGAUCUGAGCCCUGUCUGUGACCUACACUGCAGCUCACGGCAACACCAGAUCCUUAACCUGCUGAGCGAGGCCAGGGAUCGAACCCACAUCCUCAUGGAUCUCAGUCAGGUUCUUUAGCCUCUGAGCCAGGGAGGCUCAGAAGGGAGCUCCUAGUUCACUGCUCUUAACUUUGCUGCCUAAUAGAAUUACCUGGGGGAACUUUUUAAAAGUGCUAAAGCCCA